UACGUAGGUGGCAAGCGUUGUCCGGAUUUAUUGGGUUUAAAGGGUGCGUAGGCGGUUUAUUAAGUCCGUGGUGAAAUAUCUAUGCUUAACAUAGAGGGUGCCAUUGAUACUGAUAGACUUGAGUACAAACGAGGUAGGCGGAAUUGAAGGUGUAGCGGUGAAAUGCAUAGAUAUCUUCAAGAACACCGAUAGCGAAGGCAGCUUACUAGGAUGUAACUGACGCUGAGGCACGAAAGCAUGGGGAUCAAACAGG
rnacentral:rRNA from 1 species